rnacentral:rRNA from 1 species
UACAGAGGUGGCAAGCGUUGUUCGGAAUUACUGGGCGUAAAGGGCGCGUAGGCGGUCUUGCAAGUCCUGUGUGAAAUCCCUCGGCUCAGCUGAGGAACUGCACAGGAAACUGCUUGGCUUGAGUUCGGGAGAGGGGAGCGGAAUUCCGGGUGUAGCGGUGAAAUGCGUAGAUAUCCGGAGGAACACCGGUGGCGAAGGCGGCUUCCUGGACCGACACUGACGCUGAGGCGCGAAAGCUAGGGGAGCAAACGGG